rnacentral:rRNA from 1 species
CUAAACGACUCUCGGCAACGGAUAUCUCGGCUCUUGCAUCGAUGAAGAACGUAGCGAAAUGCGAUACUUGGUGUGAAUUGCAGAAUCCCGUGAACCAUCGAGUCUUUGAACGCAAGUUGCGCCUGAAGCCAUUAGGUUGAAGGCACGCCUGCCUGGGCGUCACGC